AACGAACGCUGGCGGCAUGCCUAACACAUGCAAGUCGAACGAGACCUUCGGGUCUAGUGGCGCACGGGUGCGUAACGCGUGGGAACCUGCCCCUAGGUUCGGAAUAACUCCCCGAAAGGGGUGCUAAUACCGGAUAAUGUCUUCGGACCAAAGAUUUAUCGCCUUUGGAUGGGCCCGCGUUGGAUUAGCUAGUUGGUAGGGUAAAAGCCUACCAAGGCGACGAUCCAUAGCUGGUCUGAGAGGAUGAUCAGCCACACUGGGACUGAGACACGGCCCAGACUCCUACGGGAGGCAGCAGUGGGGAAUAUUGGACAAUGGGCGAAAGCCUGAUCCAGCAAUGCCGCGUGAGUGAUGAAGGCCUUAGGGUUGUAAAGCUCUUUCACCCGGGAUGAUAAUGACAGUACCGGGAGAAUAAGCUCCGGCUAACUCCGUG
rnacentral:rRNA from 1 species